UUUGGUCAAAGUGCUAUUUUCAGUGUCGGUUUAACAGCUAUAAUGGUGCUCGCCAGUCAGGGAAUUGUGGCAGGUACCCUUACUGUUGGAGAUCUAGUAAUGGUGAAUGGACUGCUUUUUCAGCUUUCAUUACCCCUGAACUUUCUGGGAACUGUAUAUAGAGAGACUAGACAAGCACUCAUAGAUAUGAACACCUUGUUUACUCUACUCAAGGUAGACACCCGAAUUAAAGACAAAGUGAUGGCAUCUCCCCUUCAGAUCACACCACAGACAGCUACCGUGGCCUUUGAUAAUGUGCAUUUUGAAUACAUUGAGGGCCAGAAAGUCCUUAGUGGAAUAUCCUUUGAAGUCCCUGCAGGAAAGAAAGUGGCCAUUGUAGGAGGUAGUGGGUCAGGGUGGGUAAUUUAGUUAUUUGUAAAAUUCUGUAUUAUAGGCUGAUGAUUCCCAAUGUAAUAUUUCUCUCUUUAUCAAAAUGAUUACUGUGGUUUAAAACUGGGGUUUCCUAACAUUAAUAGGAGCUAAAUAACCUUUCUUCAUCUCCAAUUUCAGGAAAAGCACAAUAGUGAGGCUAUUGUUUCGCUUCUAUGAGCCUCAAAAGGGUAGCAUUUAUCUUGCUGGUCAAAAUAUACA
rnacentral:sRNA from 1 species